CUGAAAACGCUGCUUCAACAGCCCUCCAUGUCUCUCUGUACUCAGGCCCACAGCUGCCUCCUGCUUCCCUGAUAAGGGUAAGCAAGGCGACUGGAGGCGAGUUUGGCUGGAAGGCCGAGCUGCAGCAUGCCCCAAACACUCACCAUCUCUUGAGGGCAUCUGCUCAGAUGAGAAGUCGCCCCCAUGAGGAACCAAGCCACCCCAGCUGAAGAACAGGUAAAGCACCGGCUGCACAAGAAAGUCCUAUGUGAAACGGACAUGGAAUCAAGCAUCUGUGAUCACAGUAACAUGGGAGAUGGGCACAGGAGCAUCCCUGGGAGCACACACAACAGUCAACAGGAGCCCUGUCUCACCAUGAAAGCUCUGUGAAGAGGGACCAGUGCUACCCCAUCAAACAGACAGGGAAACUGAGGCUUGGAACACUCCACUUCUGGAACACAAUGCUCGGGACGGGAAGAGAGUGGGAAGAGAGCGUCUCAGCCCAGGCUCUUGAUCUAGCCCUAACUCUGCCACUCCUGCCUGCAGCGUAGCACGCCACUAACAACAAAUACACUUCCAAAAGUUUCUUUGCUGGUUUAGCUUCCUACUUCCUGAUUUUUCUACCCAUGGGAAAAUUCAAACAAACCCAAAUGGUCAGAGAUAGUUGGGUUCGGAGAUCAUCAGACUUUGGGCACAAUUUAUAGAAACUUGCCCAGCACCACCGGAGGAGCUCAGUCACUGCAGGGACUAAUUCGGGACCGCCCUCUCUGCCUGCCUUUACUCCAUGAUGAGGGACGCACAUUCUACAAGCUUCAAGAACCAAACGAAAGGCAGAAAAAAAUCAAAGGGUGAAGGAAAAAAGUCAAAGGAUCCAAGUGUUGCUGCCAAGAGCUUCAGAAGUUCCCUAAGGAUUAUCACCACUUUCUUCUCGAUAUGAAAUCAGGAGAGCAGAGUAUACCAGUCCUAAUGAUGUCAUGGAGUUAACAAAUGAAGAAAUCAGGAAAUGGUUUCUUUUUUUCUUCAAGAAAUACUUUGGUUGAAUUUCCUUAACAGGUUUCAACUUCUGCAUUCAGAGAAAAUAGUUCUGUUUCAGAAAACCAACAAAAGAACAACAGCUACUGGGAGGGACGCUCUGGCUACAAACAAGCAUAAGCUUAA